rnacentral:sRNA from 1 species
AAAUUUAUUUAUUUAGCAUUUUGUCAGGUACAAGAAAUAUUUGCCUACAGGGAGAAAACCACCACCACCACCAAUCCUACUACUAUAUGCACUAUAUUAAGCACAUGAGUUGAUCAAGGGGAAAAAAGUUAGUUUCUCCAAUUCAUGGGCUUUGAGAUUUUAAACGUUUUCUUAAAUCAAUAAUGGAGAAAUUUAAACAACCAAAACUUUGAAUUAAGGAUGGGAAACAGGGCUGAUUUUAAAAAUGGAAAUAUCACAUAAUAUGUCUGUUUGAAAUGGAAACAUGACAAAAAUUUGAAAAUAGUUAAAUAUUUUGAGAAUUCAGUUGGCUUCAAUUGUUAUUUUCUAUUAGUGACGGAUAUCACAAACAAAAGACAGUCCUUAUUUAUUUGUUAUUAGGAUUUAUAUAUAUACACACAUAUAAAGACUAUAUAGACUAUAUAUAUAUAUACUGCAUUAUAUAUAUAUGGAAUAUAUAUAUGUUUGUGUAUAUAUAUAUGUUUGUAUGUAUGUGUGUGUAUAUAUAUAUGUUUGUUCUCAUGCUGCUGUAAAGAAGUGUCCAAGACUGAGUAAUAUAUAAAGGAAAAAGAUUCAAUCCACUCACAGUUCCACAUGACUGAGGAAGCCUCAGGAAAUGUACAAUCAUGGUGGAAGGGGAAGCAAACCCAUCCUUCUUCACUUGAUGGCAGGAAGGAGAAAUUCUGAGCAAAAGGGGGAAAAGCCCCUUUUGCAACCAUGAGGUCUUGGGAGAACUCACUCACUAUCAUGAAAACAUCUGUAUGGGAUUACCGCCCCCAUGAUUCAAUUUCAGUUACCUCCUACCAGGUCCCUCUCAUAACACAUGGGGGUUAUGGGAACUACAUUCAAGAUGAGAUUUGGGUGGGGACACAGCCAAACCAUACAUAUAUACAUAUAUACACACACGCACACACAGAGUCUAUAUAUACAUACACACACACACACACAUAAGGACUGUGUAGAUAUGUGUGUGUUUGUGUAUAUAUAUAUAUAAAUACAGUCCUUAUGUGUUUAAAUAUAUAUUUACUGUCCUUAUUUAUGUGGGUUUGUGUGUGUGUGUGUGUGUGUGUGUGUGUGUGUGUACACACUGCCAGAGGUUUGAAAAGGUUAAGAUUUUAUCAGUAAGAAAAAACCAGUCACCUCUGCCAGCCCAUGCACCAUGUUGUCCUGCCGCUCCGCUGUCCCAUUCCUCCACCAGUCGCAAUGGAAGAAGAGAUUGCCGCACUGGUGAUUGACAAUGGCUCCAGCAUGUGCAAAGCUGGCUUUGCUGGGGACGACAACCCCCAGCCAUGUUUCCUUCCAUCAUCGGUGCCCCCGGCACCAGGGCAUGAUGGUGGGCAUGGGCCAGAGGGACUCCUAUGUGGGCUACAUGGCUGAGAGCAAGCACAGCAUCCUGACCCUGAAGUACCCCCAUUAAGCAUGGUAUCAUGACCAACUGGGAUGACAUAGAGAAGAUCUGGCAUCACACCUUCUACAAGGGACUGCACAUGGCCUUGGAGGAGCACCUGGUGCUGCUGACCGAGGACCCCCUGAACCUCAAGGCCAACAGAGAGAAGAUGACUCAGAUCAUGUUUGAUACCUUCAACACCCUGGCCAUGUACGUGGCCAUCCAGGCUAUGCUGUCCCUCUACACCUGUGGUUGCACACUGGCAUUGUCAUGGGCUCUGGAGAUGGGGUCACCCACAUGGUGCCCAUCUAUAAGGGCUACGCCCUCCCUGACACCAUUCUGCAUCUGGACCUGGCUGGCCAGGACCUGACCAACUACCUCAUGAAGAUCCUUACCAAGGUUGGCUAUAGCUUCAGCACCACUGCCGAGCGGGAGAUCAGACACUACGUCAAGGAGAAACUGUGCUAUGUUGCCCUGGACUUUGAGCAGUAGAUGGCCACUGCCACAUCCUCCUCCUCCCUGGAGAAGAGAUAUGAGCUGCCUGAUGGCCAUGUCAUCACCAUCGGCAAUGAGGUUGCGGUGUCCCGAGGCGCUGUUCCAGCCUUCCUUCCUGGACAUGGAAUCUUGCAGCAUCCACCCAGACCAUCUUCAACUCCAUCAUGAAGUGUGACGUGGACAUCCGCAAAGACCUGUAGGCCAACACGGUGCUAUCUGGUGGCAACAUGUACCCAGGCAUCACCGACAGGAUGCAGAAGGAGAUCACCACCCUGGCACCUAGCACCAUGAAGAUCAAGAUGAUCGCACCCCCAGAGCACAAGUACUCGCUGUGGAUCAGCGGCUCCUUCCUGGCCUCACUGUCAGCCUUCCAGCAGAUGUGGAUUAGCAAGCAAUAGUACAAUGACUCGGCCCCCUCCAUCGUCCACCGCAAAUGCUUCUAAAUGGACUGCGAGCAGAUGGCUAGCAAUUGUUUCAUGGGUUAAUUCAGAAGUAAAAAUUUGCCCCUGGCAAAUGCAUACACCUCAUGCUAGCCUCACCAAACUGGAAUAAGCCUUAGAAAAUAAGUUGUCUUUGAAGCUUGUAUCUGAUAUCAGCACUGGAUUGUAGAACUUGUUCCUGAUUUUGACAUUGUAUUCAAGUUAACUGUUCCCCUUGGUAUCUGUACAUAUCUUUGAUUUCAGUCUUUAGUACAUGUGGCUUGGUCACUUCAUGGCUAAAAACAUACUUGUGGAAGACAAGUCUGGCUUGGUGAGUCUGCAUGGCCAGCAGUCUCUGAUCUGUGCAGGGUAUUAAUGUGUCAGGACUGAGUGUUCUGGGAUUUGUCUACAGGCUGGUAAGGGCUCCUUAACCAGUUGUUGCUGUCCUGUCGGUCUGUCAGGGUUGGAAAGUCCAAGCCAUAGGACCCAGUUUCCUUUCUUAGCUUCUGUUGUCUGCCAGAACACCAUGGGCUGUUACUUGCCUUGAGUUGGAAGCGGUUUGCAUUUAUACCUAUAAAUGUAUUCAUCCUUUUAAUUUAUGUAAAGUUUUUUUGUAUGCAAUUCUCGAUCUUUAAAGAGAUGACAACAAAUUUUGGUUUUCUACUGUUACGUGAGAACAUUAGGCCCCAGCAAUAUAUCAUUGUGUAUGGAAAAAUAAAAGUGCUGCCAGAACCAAAAAAACAUUAAUUUCUAAAAGGUCAUUUAGAUGAUUUCCAUGAGAGACUUUUUAAUGUUCUUCACGUGUUAGGAUUAUUAUUGAUAAUCCUUUUCAGAUUAUUAGUAAACAGUUUGCCCUCAAGUAUUUAUUCAUGCUAAUAUUUACUUUGUAAAAUGUGCUUCUUACAGGAAUAUAAAUAGUUUCUGGAAAGGACACUGACAACUUCAAAGCAAAAUGAAGUUCUUUCUGUUGCUUUUCACCAUUGGGUUCUGCUGGGCUCAGUAUUCCCCAAAUACACAACAAGGACGGACAUCUAUUGUUCAUCUGUUUGAAUGGCGAUGGGUUGAUAUUGCUCUUGAAUGUGAGCGAUAUUUAGCUCCGAAGGGAUUUGGAGGGGUUCAGGUCUCUCCACCAAAUGAAAAUGUUGCAAUUCACAACCCUUUCAGACCUUGGUGGGAAAGAUACCAACCAGUUAGCUAUAAAUUAUGCACAAGAUCUGGAAAUGAAGAUGAAUUUAGAAACAUGGUGACUAGAUGUAACAAUGUUGGGGUUCGUAUUUAUGUGGAUGCUGUAAUUAAUCAUAUGUCUGGUAAUGCUGUGAGUGCAGGAACAAGCAGUACCUGUGGAAGUUACUUCAACCCUGGAAGUAGGGACUUUCCAGCAGUCCCAUAUUCUGGAUGGGAUUUUAAUGAUGGUAAAUGUAAAACUGGAAGUGGAGAUAUCGAGAACUACAAUGAUGCUACUCAGGUCAGAGAUUGUCGUCUGGUUGGUCUUCUUGAUCUUGCACUGGAGAAAGAUUAUGUGCGUUCCAAGAUUGCCAAAUAUAUGAAUCAUCUCAUUGACAUUGGUGUUGCAGGGUUCAGACUUGAUGCUUCCAAGCACAUGUGGCCUGGAGACAUAAAGGCAAUUUUGGACAAACUGCAUAAUCUAAACAGUAACUGGUUCCCUGCAGGAAGUAAACCUUUCAUUUACCAGGAGGUAAUUGAUCUGGGUGGUGAGCCAAUUAAAAGCAGUGACUACUUUGGAAAUGGCCGGGUGACAGAAUUCAAGUAUGGUGCAAAACUUGGCACAGUUAUUGGCAAGUGGAAUGGAGAGAAGAUGUCUUACUUAAAGAACUGGGGAGAAGGUUGGGGUUUCAUGCCUUCUGACAGAGCACUUGUCUUUGUGGAUAACCAUGACAAUCAACGAGGACAUGGGGCUGGAGGAGCCUCUAUUCUUACCUUCUGGGAUGCUAGGCUGUAUAAAAUGGCAGUUGGAUUUAUGCUUGCUCAUCCUUAUGGAUUUACACGAGUAAUGUCAAGCUACCGUUGGCCAAGACAGUUUCAAAAUGGAAACGAACAUGGUUAAUUUCCGCAAUGUAGUGGAUGGCCAGCCUUUUACAAACUGGUAUGAUAAUGGGAGCAACCAAGUGGCUUUUGGGAGAGGAAACAGAGGAUUCAUUGUUUUCAACAAUGAUGACUGGACAUUUUCUUUAACUUUGCAAACUGGUCUUCCUGCUGGCACAUACUGUGAUGUCAUUUCUGGAGAUAAAAUUAAUGGCAAUUGCACAGGCAUUAAAAUCUACGUUUCUGACGAUGGCAAAGCUCAUUUUUCUAUUAGUAACUCUGCUGAAGAUCCAUUUGUUGCAAUUCAUGCUGAAUCUAAAUUAUAAAAUUUAAAAUUAAAUGCAUAUCCUCAAAAC